rnacentral:rRNA from 1 species
AUGGGCGAAAGCCUGAUGCAGCAACGCCGCGUGAGGGACGAAGGCCUUCGGGUCGUAAACCUCUUUUCUGGGGGACGAGUAAGGUCGGUACUCCAGGAAUAAGUCUCGGCUUACUACGUGCCAGCAGCCGCGGUAAAACGUAGGAUGGGAGCGUUAUGCGGAUUUACUGGGCGUAAAGCGUACGCAGGUGGCUUCGUUAGCCGGUCAUGAAAGCUCCUGGCUUAACUGGGAGAGGUUGUACGAUACUGCGGAGCUUGAGGUUGGGAGAAGGAAGUGGAAUUCCCGGUGUAGUGGUGGAAUGCGUAGAUAUCGGGAGGAACACCAGUGGCGCAAGCGCCGUCCUGGCCCACACCUGACGCUGAGGGACG